rnacentral:rRNA from 1 species
UACAGAGGUCCCGAGCGUUGUUCGGAUUUAUUGGGCGUAAAGAGCUCGUAGGCGGUUUGUUGCGUCGGCUGUGAAAUCCCGAGGCUCAACCUCGGGUCUGCAGUCGAUACGAGCAAACUAGAGUGUUGCAGGGGAGACUGGAAUUCCUGGUGUAGCGGUGAAAUGCGCAGAUAUCAGGAGGAACACCGGUGGCGAAGGCGGGUCUCUGGGCAACAACUGACGCUGAGGAGCGAAAGCGUGGGGAGCGAACAGG